CUUUAGUGUAUGCACAAGGAGCCUUUAGUGUAUGCACAAGGAGCCUUUAGUGUAUACACAAGGAACCUUUAGUGUAUGCACAAGGAGCCUUUAGUGUACACACAAGAAACCUUUAGUGUAUGCACAAGGAGCCUUUAGUGUAUGCACAAGGAGCCUUUAGUGUAUGCACAAGGAGCCUUUAGUGUAUACACAAGGAGCCUUUAGUGUAUACACAAGGAACCUUUAGUGUAUGCACAAGGAACCUUUAGUGUAUACACAAGGAACCUUUAGUGUAUGCACAAGGAACCUUUAGUGUAUACACAAGGAACCUUUAGUGUAUGCACAAGGAGUCUUUAGUGUAUGCAC
rnacentral:lncRNA from 1 species